rnacentral:rRNA from 1 species
UACGGAGGGUGCGAGCGUUGUCCGGAAUCACUGGGCGUAAAGGGCGCGUAGGCGGCGCGGGCAGUCAACGGUGAAAGCUCGGGGCUCAACUCCGAGUCGGCCGUCAAUACUCCCGUGCUCGAGCACUGUAGAGGCAGGUGGAAUUCCGGGUGUAGCGGUGGAAUGCGUAGAGAUCCGGAAGAACACCGGUGGCGAAGGCGGCCUGCUGGGCAGUAGCUGACGCUGAGGCGCGACAGCGUGGGGAGCAAACAGG